UCUCCGUAGGUGAACCAGCGGAAGGAUCAUUACCGAGUUUUGACUGUGUCAUAGCUGCGUUUCCGAGGCAUGUGUCCGCGCUGCUCAUCCACUCUACACCUCUGCACUUACUGUGGGUAUCAGAUCGUGAAGCGCGCCCUUUUACCGGAGUUUGUGAAGCGUUUUUGUGCUUGCGUUUUUCAUAAACCAUAUCAAGUAACAGAAUGUGUAUUACGUUUUAACGCAUUGAUAAACAACUUUCAGCAACGGAUCACUUGGCUGUACCACCGACGAAAAACG
rnacentral:misc_RNA from 1 species